rnacentral:rRNA from 1 species
UACAGAGGGUGCAAGCGUUGUUCGGAAUUAUUGGGCGUAAAGCGCGUGUAGGCGGUUUUUCAAGUCCUGUGUGAAAGCCCUGGGCUCAACCCAGGAAGUGCGCAGGAUACUGGAUGACUGGAGUGGCGGAGAGGAUGGCGGAAUUCCCGGUGUAGAGGUGAAAUUCGUAGAUAUCGGGAGGAACACCUGUGGCGAAGGCGGCCAUCUGGACGUCAACUGACGCUGAGACGCGAAAGCGUGGGUAGCAAACAGG